UUAAUUGAAACCAAAAAGAGGUAUACCACUGUUAAUGGUACUAAUGGAAUAAUCCCCGAUUAAA
rnacentral:tRNA from 1 species